CGAUUCGGGUGGGCAAACAUACUUCGUUGUAUUAGUAGAGUACCAGUCAGUCAAGAGUUCAGGGUUGCUCCCUAUGCUCCUCCCUGAGGAGUGUCAUAAGUUGGGAACACCCCAUGUCGCAGGCUGUGGGAUGGGGCAAUACGAUUACACAUGGCAUUGGUUCCUGAAUAGAGUAACGUCUCGUUCUGCCUGUACUAUAAACUCCGUCGCUAACCAUUUUGAAUAGCUUGAAUGGAAAGGAGGUAGACAGAUUUUUAGAUACACAUAACAUGAGAUAACAAUUUGUAUAGAAUGAGCAUAAUCAUAACCAUAUAGAAAACAUUAUCAGCGAGUACAUAUACAUGCAUGGCCUAUUCUUCUUGAAUUGAAUUUGUAAUUUAUGUUGGUAUAGUAAACGGUGGGUUAUCAAUAUUGUUGUCCACUGUUCAGGUGUGCUAGAUGCUAAAGAAUGGGGAUAUUUAGUCGUGUCAGGUCAGUGAUAGUUCAUUGGUAGUUGAGUAAUCCGUCCGUGGGCCUGUCGCUAGCUGGGGUAUGUGUACCUCUGCAUCUAUGGGAGGUGUCUGUGCCAUGUUGUGUUCUGCGGAUAACCCGCUUUUGUAUGCUGAGUGUCCGUGGAGCCUUGGUUAUGCUUUCGUCGUAGGGUUUGCAGUCAUAGAGCUAGUCUCUGUGGUGUCGUAUAAGAUCCCUUUGAGUUGCGACAUCAGAUGUAGAUUGAGCGCAUGCUCAACCUCUCGUGUGUGAUCUCUACCUGUGUUAGUUCGCCUCUAUGGUCAUUGGGCAGGUAUAGGUGUUUGAGGCAUUAGCUCAGAUUGUGCUAUGUCCUUUCUAGUUCCAUUUCCCCCACCCCUGUGGCCCUCCACGUCACAACAAACGAACAAGUGUAGUAGCAUGUCGGUUAAACAUUGGUAGUAAACAUAACAGAUAGAAUUUAAAAACUGGG